GAUGAACGCUGGCGGCGUGCAUAACACAUUCAAGUCGAACGGAGUUUAUGGAAGGAAGUCUUCGGAUGGAAUGAAGUAAGCUUAGUGGCGGACGGGUGAGUAACGCGUGAGCAACCUGCCUUGGCAUGGGGGAUAACGUUUGGAAACGGACGCUAAUACCGCAUAUCGCAUAGGGACCGCAUGAUUCUUAUGCAAAAGAUUUAUUGUGCUAAGAUGGGCUCGCGUCCCAUUAGAUAGUUGGUGAGGUAACGGCCCACCAAGUCGACGAUGGGUAGCCGAACUGAGAGGUUGAACGGCCACAUUGGAACUGAGAUACGGUCCAGACUCCUACGGGAGGCAGCAGUGGGGGAAUAUUGGGCAAUGGGCGAAAGCCUGACCCAGCGACGCCGCGUGAGGGAAGAAGGUCUUCGGAUUGUAAACUCCUGUCCUCAGGGAAGAGCAGAAGACGGUACCUGAGGAGGAAGCCCCCGGGCUAACUACGUGCCAGCAGCCGCGGU
rnacentral:rRNA from 1 species